GCCCCGGCGGCCCGGGGGUUCCCGGGGCCGGCGCCCCGGGCGAGCCGGCACCCGGGCCGGCUCCUGCCGUUCCCGCCGCUCCGGGGCG
rnacentral:tRNA from 1 species